rnacentral:rRNA from 1 species
UGAGAAACCUGUCCCGGUCUCUGGAAUAACAGUCGGAAACGACUGCUAAUACCGGAUGCCGUCGGAGCAUCGCAUGGCGCGCUGACGAAAGGGCUACCGGAUCGGGAGGGUCUCGCGGCCUAUCAGCUUGUUGGUGAGGUAACGGCUCACCAAGGCAUCGACGGGUAGCUGGUCUGAGAGGGCGACCGGCCACACUGGGACUGAGAUACGGCCCAGACUCCUACGGGAGCAG